UUUUUUGAAAAUGCAUGAGGUUAUGAACUGCACCGCUUCACAGCAGCACACUUUUCAUGAAAUGCUAACUCGUCACAGGAAGUAUUCCGGCGGGAAGCCUCGCAGUCAUACAUAUACUUUCAGAAAACAAGUAGAAGUUACUACUGAUGAGACACGUGAGGAUGUACAAUAAUUCCAGUGAAUUUGCCAUUGAUAUAUUACAAGGAAACUCGGAUACUGGGGGAAAGGCUGAACAAUGGUUGUGAUGGUAAUUUUCAACUUUAAACCAGCGCUAUUGAUGAGUCGGGAAACGCUAUUGGCAGAACAAGAAGCCCGGCUUGUAAAUAAAAGCCGAAGCAACAGUCAGUCUUUAGGGGGCGGCUUAUGACGGAAUAAAGACUAAAUGAUGGAGAUCAAGUUUUGUUAGAAUUUUUGAGAGACAGAGAAGAAAAAUGGUUCAACUAUUUUACUAUGAAAAUCGUGGCAAAUGUUGUCGAAAGGUUUUCAACUAUGAAGGAUUUCCAACGAAGGUGAUGCUUUUUCCUUACGAAGGAUGGGCACAUCCGGUUCCUGUAACAUAUUGGACGUUAAAAACAUAUUGGUGGAACCGGUCACGAUGUAAAAUCGUGGAAGUUUCCGGAACCAAACGAAGAACAACCAAAGGAAAAAUGACUGACAAAGGAAGUGGCGCAAUGGUCAUAUCGGGGAAAUUCAAAAACAGCCCUAGCCCUGACUUCCGAAUGACAUUGACAACUAACAUUUCUAACGAGGACUUUCAGCUGGGAUACUGUGUGACAGGAACUUUGGAGCGAGGUGACAAGAAAAAGGGCGAACUACAGCUCGCGCAAUUUGCUAUGGUAAAACGCCGAGGAUACUAACCGAAAGCUGAACUUCUAUCUCAUUUAUUUUAAUCAAAAUAUCCUAGCUCUAAUUCUGACCACGAAAAUCAAUAUCUACACAUACGUAUAAGUGUCGUAUUAGACAGCAAUUGUAGCGCGCCGAGACGCGGAGAACUGCUGAAAAAGGAGGAGCACAAACAACCGUGUCUCUGGUCUCAGUCUAAGGAACGAGACGGGUUUCACAUUCCAAUUCUCAUUUCUUCAAGGAAAUAUUCUUUUCUAUAUCUUCUGUAAAUAGAUAUGCUCUAAGUACAAGACACUGUGUCUCUUUCUAACAUCUGUAUCACAUAAACUCCUUUGCGGCUGUUGAAAGGUGUGAACGUUGAACGAGAUAUUGCAUAUCAAAGAACUCAUUUUGUGUCGCAUAUAAUGCACAUCUUGAUAAGUAUUCCAUUUGAUGUCUGUAAUUGAUUACUCGCUCUGUAUUCUUCUUACUUUGUAUGACGUUUGACGUUGCCACUGUAGUUGUUAGUUGGAAGUGGUGCUCGUUAAUCAUUCAUCGACAUGUUUGGAAAAAAAAAUAGAUCUAUUCCAUAUUUUAAAAGAAAAAAAUCGUCCCUUGAGCAUAGUUAAAGAAAAAACCGUAAUUAGGCAUUCAGAGACAAGGGUGUGUUUACUUCUUUCAAAGACAUAGAAUCUGCUUUAUCAUGUGUCUGCAUCACAUGUUGUAAAUUUUUCAUCAAUUUCCAGUCCCUUUAUCAAUAAUAACUAUCUGCAAUGCUACAGUACUUGAUGUCUGCGCUUUAUUGAAAAAGAGUGUAAUUUCGUAUUUAUUAAAGAAGAAAUGGGUAGGUUAUCCAUACAGUAUUGGGUAUACAUUCUUUUCGUCUCAGUUCUAACAUCUCUAAAAAACGAUGGCAACAAAGGGAGAAAUAAAGCUGCCACCACCCCCUUUUUUUAUGUAAAGUCAAUGUUCAGAAAGCCGUUGAUGAAAAAUUAAUAAUUGAUUAAAUUCUAAGAAAUAAUGGGUCAUUGAAUAAAACAUUAUUGUUGUUUUCCUGACAAAUGAUUUAAUUUUGCGCUUUCGUGUUUGCUUUUUCGCCGCUAAUAUCGCUUCUCUUUAAGGAAGAAAUGUUUCGAUUUAUAUUUGUGUUAAAGAGGUAUAACACACGAAUGAAAAUUGUAGUGGACUAUAAAAUUGUGAAGUUGCUUACUUUAGUAUUGAUACUGAUUAGCGAAAAAUUGCAGUUUGAUUAAGAAAUCACACGCAGAGAAAAAACUAAAACACGAAUUUCUGAUUUAUAUAGGUUUAAUCUACUGAGCUUACGAGCUACAUGUAGGCAUUAAGUUUCGAAUGAAGUCAGCCAGUAACAAAUGGCUUAGCUAGUGUACCUGGUCUACACGAUUUUGACACAGUUUUGAAAAGAAAUAAGAAAUGAUGAAUGGUCUUAUCUAUAUGAAUUUAGAGUUUAUUCCAGAGAAGAUUGAAACGAAGAAAAGAAAACAAACAAUUAUGAAAGUUACUGUUUAAUCUACUUACUAAAGAACAAAUCUAUCAACAAUUCAAUGGUAUAAUUGAAGCUGAUACGUAAUUUCAAGUUUUAGGGAUUUUCUCUGGUAGGCCAUCUAUUUACAAUGAGUAAUUUUCUAAAAAUCUACGCCGUACUUUGAUUCCUGUGUUAUCAUUUGUUCCCUCCACUGUCUUCCCAUGUGCCAUGUCAUGGUGUCAGAUUCACUUUCAUGUUUGCUAGAUUUAUUCCAUUCUCCUGUUGGGCAUUGUGAAUGUUUCCAGACAUGUAAUAUUUAUAAUUGAAUAAAUAUUAUGUUAUCAAUACUAUU